rnacentral:lncRNA from 1 species
CUUCUGAUAUAUCAAACAUUAAUAACCAAUUAAUAGCAAGUUAUCCAAACGAUAUACUUUUGUAUGUACUUAUCAGUUCCCAAUUAAUCAUGCACCCAAUUAAUUUCUCGUGUCUAUAAACAUUAGCAACCAAGACAUAGCUGCAGAAAUAGCCGGAGCAAAAUAAUAGCCAUCUACUAGUGAUUGGUCUUAUGAAGAACACAAGGGCAUUGUGCUUGCUUGCUCUUAUUGUCAUUUCCACCACUUUCUUGUCCUGCCAUGCAGCAGGUAUGUAGGAGCAUACAUAAAUAUUUUCUCCUACGUACUCAUUAGUUUCUUUUGUUCUUCCGCCUCUUCUAUUUUGUUUAAAUCAAACAAUAAAUCAGUUUUAACUGCAUCCUGAUGUUGUGUCUGAUCUGUAGGUACAAUGGACCUUGGACCUAUUCUUGGGUGUGUAAAGAUGAAAAAAGCUUGCUCAGUUAAUGGGUGCUUGCGGCAAUGUGCCUCUCAUGGUUGGAAUACCCACAGAUGCAUUUGCACCGAUGUUGGCCAUUGUUGUCACUACGCGGAGGCAAUGGCACCAAAUUGAUAGUAGUAGUAUGAUAUAUUGUUGUUAGCCAUGUCCUCUUGCUUUGCAAGGGUGAAUAUUAAUCAUCUAUGUCACCGCUGAUAUAAUAGAUGAGGAAGAUAUAAUAAAUUAAAAGCUAUAUAGUUGAAUUAUACUAUUUAUGAAGGGACUAUUCGGGCUAUGAGUUCUUUGCUUUUUUCCAUUCUUCUGUUAACUUAAAUUUUAUU